rnacentral:rRNA from 1 species
GGGUUAAGUCCCGCAACGAGCGCAACCCUUGUCACUAGUUGCCAUCAUUUGGUUGGGCACUCUAGUGAGACUGCCGGUGACAAACCGGAGGAAGGUGGGGAUGACGUCAAGUCCUCAUGGCCCUUAUGGGUAGGGCUUCACACGUCACACAAUGGUCGGUACAGAGGGUUGCCAAGCCGCGAGGUGGAGCCAAUCCCUUAAAGCCGAUCGUAGUCCGGAUCGUAGUCUGCAACUCGACUACGUGAAGUCGGAAUCGCUAGUUAUCGCAGAUCAGCAUGCUGCGGUGAAUACGUUCCCGGGUCUUGUACACACCGCCCGUCACACCAUGGGAGUGGGUUUCACCAGAAGUAGGUAGCUUAACCUUCGGGAGGGCGCUUACCACGGUGAGAUUCAUGACUGGGGUGAAGUCGUAACAAGGUAGCCGUAUCGGAAGGUGCGGCUGGAUCACCUCCUUU